AGGGUUUGAUCYUGGCUCAGCAUUGAACGCUGGCGGCAUGCUUUACACAUGCAAGUCGAACGGUAACAGGCCGCAAGGUGCUGACGAGUGGCGAACGGGUGAGUAAUGCAUCGGAACGUGCCCAGUCGUGGGGGAUAACGCAGCGAAAGCUGCGCUAAUACCGCAUACGAUCUAUGGAUGAAAGCGGGGGACCGUAAGGCCUCGCGCGAUUGGAGCGGCCGAUGUCAGAUUAGGUAGUUGGUGGGGUAAAGGCUCACCAAGCCAACGAUCUGUAGCUGGUCUGAGAGGACGACCAGCCACACUGGGACUGAGACACGGCCCAGACUCCUACGGGAGGCAGCAGUGGGGAAUUUUGGACAACGGGCGCAAGCCUGAUCCAGCAAUGCCGCGUGCAGGAAGAAGGCCUUCGGGUUGUAAACUGCUUUUGUACGGAACGAAAAGGCUCUGGUUAAUACCUGGGGCACAUGACGGUACCGUAAGAAUAAGCACCGGCUAACUACGUGCCAGCAGCCGCGGUAAUUCA
rnacentral:rRNA from 1 species